UAAUACGGAGGGGGCAAGCGUUGUUCGGAAUUACUGGGCGUAAAGCGCGCGUAGGUGGUUUGUCAAGUUGGGGGUGAAAUCCCGGGGCUCAACUCCGGAACUGCCCUCAAAACUGGUAGGCUAGAGUGUGGGAGAGGAGAGCGGAAUUCCCAGUGUAGAGGUGAAAUUCGUAGAUAUUGGGAAGAACACCAGUGGCGAAGGCGGCUUUCUGGACCACAACUGACGCUGAGGCGCGAAAGCGUGGGUAGCAAACAGGACUAGAUACCCUGGUAGUCCACGCCGUAAACGAUGAGUGCUAGACGUUGGGGGGCUUGCCCUUCAGUGUCGGAGCUAACGCAUUAAGCACUCCGCCUGGGGAGUACGGCCGCAAGGUUA
rnacentral:rRNA from 1 species